GUCAUGUGCAGAGCACACAGUAAGUCACUGCACCAAGAAUGUGAGAGCAUGUGGCAAGGCCCUCUCUCUUCUGGCCAUGCUCUGCGACUUAGAAUAGGAAACACAACAGCCUCAGAAGACACUCAGCCCUGAUAGAGGGACACUGAUCUGCAGAGGCACACCCAUUGAAAGAUAACCAAACAGAGGGAGGAGCCAAGAUGGCGGAACAGCACGGGAGUUUUUUGUGUAUAUCAUGUCCAUGAAAUACAGCCAGACCAACACCAAACCAUCCUUCACACCUAGAAAACUUAUUGGAGGAUUAAGAAAACAAUCUGCACAACCUGAACCACAGAAUUAAGCAGGGGUCAGGCAACAUGCUACUUACUCCCUCAUGUGUUUCACCUUGGUCGCGGCCACUGUGCUGUUGAACGUUGUUAGUCUCGGGGACACGUCUGGAGCUGUGCUGGGGAUCGUCCUCGCAUCUGAAAAUCAAUGCACAGCCCUUAUUGACUUCAUCAGCACCCUGGCAACUUCCAGGCAACAUUCAAGGGCAAUCAGAAAACAGAAGUUAAUCCACCUGUGCCACUAGAAAGGAUAGGGGAGGAAUCAAGGUGGCGGAAAAGCAGGGAAGCUUUUUGUGUGUCUCGUGUCCAUGAAAUACAGCCAGACCAACACUAAACCAUCCUACACACCUAGAAAACUGAUUGCAGGAGUAACACAACAAUCUGCACAACCUGAAUCACAGAAUUCAGCAGGUACACGGAAUGGAGAGCUGAACUUGCGGAGCAAGAAGCCGCGGAAGGCUGGCACCUGGCCGCAGUCUUGGGGCACCGGCAACAGCAGGGUCCAGCGGGCAUUCCUGGGUGCAGCCGACAUUCAGCCCUUGCUCAUUCGGCCACUGCUCAGUGAGACCCUCCCAUAGAGGGGCAGAAUGGGUCAAAGCCGCAGUCCUUUGGAAGUAAGGGGCUGGGGAAAACAGCCACAUCUGAGACAAAACUUGGGAGAGAGGGCUCUCUUGGGGGCACUCCCAGAUAAAGGUCCUGCCCGCUCAACUUUAUGUCAGAGGCUGCUUCCUGAAGAACCCAGGCCAUGACACAUGGGUACCUGGUUGGGAGGAUGUGGGGGCAUGAAGGUGGUUCUCUCAUUGACUUCAACAAGUUGAGUAAUAAAUAAGAAUGAUAAUAAAUAUACAA